AGCUUCUCCUCGCCUAACUAAGGGACGCGGGAUAGUAGCCAGGCUCGCGCUUCCGGGGGUGACAGCGGUAACAGUUAUUUAAAUGACAAACCAUUCAACCAAUCAGAGGAAGGAGAGCAACUGGCCAAUGGGGCAAGAAACAUUAUCCUCCUGUCCUGGACCCUACCGGAUCACAUUCAACCCUGGACUAAACAGAUGUAAUUCCUAUUAAAGUAAAUAGUAACUGCAAGCUUAUUACAUGGUUGAAUUUUAUCUAUGUUUUUUAGAGGCUUUAACCCCAACAUACUGACCAAAGUGUUCCUAUUUUGGGUAAAACUGAGGAUUCUACAAUCCUGCACAGAUGGUCUGAGUGAUCAGAAGCUAAUGAGAAUAUUGCUUAUUUGGAUCCUAAACUGCUGAAAGCUGACCAGAUAAUUAAUGGAAGAGCCUUGAUCCAGACUAACACGGCUACCCCUCUGAUAUGUGAUUUAAGUGGACCACAAAAUGGCAGAUUUGGAGAGAAGAAAGGUGAGUAAUAAGGGGAAAAGUGACCUCAAUAUCAGAUAGUCUACAAAGCCAUUUUGCAGGCUCUGUUUGUGCACACUGCACUGAAGAAUGAGGGAAUGGCUGUAGCACCAGAGACUUUCUCUCUCUAUUCUAAGAAUCCCCUCCUCAGAGGCAGGGCCUUUUCCAAGAAGACCUCAUCCUCCCUUCAGAGUUAUCCUGCUAAGGAGUUUAUAAAGCACAUCUCCUUUCAAAUAUCACUGAAAAUGCUUGGAAUCUAUAGAUUCACAAAAGCCUCCUCACUAAAAUCUAGGUUAAUAUAUAACUGAAAUGGUUGUUGUGGAAGAAUUUUCAGGAAAGAACUGCAUUAAAAUAUUUCCUGUUACAGACCAGGAGGGUAAACACAAAAUUCCACACACAAGAACAUCUUCCUCUUUCUCUGAUGAUUCUUUCCAAAGGUAUUAAAAAAAAAACUACAGUGAAAUUUUCAGAAGAGGGAGUGUUAAACUCAGGUUUUAUAUCAUGAAGACUGAUUCUAAUUUAUUAUCAUUCAAGGGAUUUCUUCCUCUUUUCCUGAAGACUGAUUUGUGUUCUAUAUACUGUAGAUUGUACAAUGGGGCUGAUUGAGAUGACCUUAUAAUAGUUUGUUGACACAAUCUUGGACAUACUCAUCUUUUGCUAAAUGAGAUUUCUCUAUGUUAAAGUCAUCACAGAUAAUGAUUCUUGUGUCCCUUGAAAACAUAGUGGUCUUGGAAUGGCUACUUUGGAGAACAACGGAUCAGUUAAUUGAGCUUCCAUAAAUUAUAUUGGGUUUCAACUACAAGUUAGAAAAUUUCUCAUCAGCACUCAUUUAUACCAACUUCCUGACAUUCUGUCACAGCUAUCAUCUUAAAAACCACCACCAACAACAACCCCCAGCCCCUGCCACACACACACUCUCUCUCUCUCUCUUAGAUAUAGAGCUGGACCGCUUAAGAACUUGUGACAAAAGUAGAAAAUUCCUUUUGAAAGGACGGCUUAAAUCAGCAGCCAUUGGCAUGAGGGCCAUAUCCUAUAUCAUAUAGUUACUGCAGGUACCUCCUUAACCUGGAUCUUAUGGUAGUGUUAUUCUCAAAAUGAAGCUAGAAAAGGAGACUAUAAAACAAUUGAAAUCUCUCAAAUCUGCUUGUUCUCCUUCAUAUGAAGCAACUUUCACGAAGUUUGCAAAGUGUUUUGAGAUUCUUGUAUAGAGUAUGCUAGGUAAGUGCCAACAUAUAAUUAUAAUUAUAAUGAUUAUUGCUUUCUUUGCCUCCGAGUAUCUCUAUUAUGUAAAGCCAGGCCCAGUGAAUGUGUAGUUUAGAGCUCUAAAUACUGAUUAAGCUCUUAAGGAAAUUCCUGGAAAAAGCGUGGAAAGAUUGUUCUUUUUGUGAUUCCCUCAGAGAUUCAAGUUACAUUUGAAAAUUCCAAACUAUCACCGGCUGACAAUCUAUAGGCCAUUUGCUGCUACAGACUCCAGGAAAUAGUUCUCUAACUAUUCCAGCUACAGGUCUUUCUUGGCUGUUUGGGGAAAAUAGUCAAUAAUAAUGCUUAACCAACUAUACAGCAUAUUCUAACUUCAAAGUGCUUUACAAAUAUUAAUCUUCACAACUCAACUUUAAAGUAAAUUGUUCUAUUUCUUUUUUACAGAUGAAAGUACUAAGGCAGAAGGAUUAUGGUGUACAUAUUAAAAAGUGCAUAUACAAAAGUAUGCUUGCAUUUCUGUAUGUGUUAAACCUACCUCCUGGGGGAAUUCUGCACCACUGUGCAAUGCAGGAUUUGCACAAAAUUAAUGUUCUGCACAGAGUUUCAUUUUUUCCCCAGAGAAUUGGUGCUGAAGAGCUGCUGGUUGCUGCUAGGAUGUGGGCGGGCUGCAGUUCUCAGGUUUGCUGGUCCUGCUCAGUGACAUAGUGCAGCUGAGAUCCUGUGGGGAGAGGCAAGAGCAAGGCACCGCUGCUUUCUGGGAAGAGAGAGACUGAGAGUAAGGGGAGCGUCUGCAGAGGUGGGGGCGUGACUCAAGUUGUUCCAGGGGCAGCUGAACCUUUAAAUUAUGCGCCCCUCCCCCCAACAGCAGAUACGGGUCGUCUCUGCCUGGUAAGACAGUAAUGAAGCUGUACAGAGCAAAGCCUGCGGCUGGGCUUUGGGGGGGAGAGGCGAAGCAAGCCCCGUGGCUAGGCUGUCAGGAGAGGGGAUGUGGGUGUCUGGCCCUGCAGCUGGGCUCUGGGGGGGGAAAGGGGGUGUGGGUGAUUGGCCUGGAGGGGUCCACGCAGCCCCCUCCAGCACCCCCCAAAUGCCCCCUCCCAGUACACACACACCCCUCCAGCAUCCCCAAAUACCGUCUCCUAGUACUAGAUUGCUAAAAACUUGUGAAUAUUUCAUUGUUGCAUAAUUUUUUACAUGGUUCCAUUUUAUGCAGACUGGAGGCAGCAUGCUUGUGACCCUGAGAGGCCUUACUGGAAGUGCCUCCUGGGAAAGGGUUCACUGUCAUAUAACAGUGUGACCCAGAGCACCCCAGUAUUCACACCCUACAUGAUAUUGUUAUAAUCUUUGUAUCAAAUAUGCCUUGUGAGAUAUCACUUGAAAACUAAUAACUCAUUGAUCAUUAAUAUUCUUGUUAAUGUAUGUAUGCGUUGUGUAUUAAGAGUUAUGGCUAUACAUUGAAAUUAUAAGUAAAAUGUGCUUAAACUAAAACUUAUAACUAAAAUGUGCUUAAAGGGAUGUCAUGGGGAGUUUGUGAACAAGUCUUUCCUAAACAAAGGAAUGUGGGUUUACCUCAAUUUACAUAUACGUAGAAAACAGGACCAUCAAGACAGCACGGAGAGGAGAUUUCAGGAAAAGGAACAAUUUGCCUUUUAGCAAACAUAAGCGGAGGGGUGGGAAACAGCAUGGAGCUUACUUUACCAUGAGAAUCCAUGUCACCUUCCUUACAGCUUGUAUAAACUUUACUUUGAGGUUUAACCCUCAUAAGAAUGAAUUUCAAAGGUUCAUGAGAGUAUAAAAAAAAUACUCAGAAAACCCCAAGUUAUCUCUUCCACCUAAGAAGACAAAAGGUACAGCACUUCUGGGCAUCUGAAAGAGAACCUCACCAAGGUGGGGGUCAGCCACCAUCUUGCUAGAAGACUGUGGAUGAGAAAAACCAUCUUGAACAAAGCCUGUACCUUAGUAAAUUAAGGUUUAGACUUUAGGCGUGUGUUUUCACUUUUAUUUGCUUGUAAUCAUUUCUAACUUCAUCUCUCAUACCUGAACUCACUUAAAAGCCUGUCUUCUUUUGUUAAUAAACUUGAUUUACUAUUAAACUAAGCCAGUUCAAAUAAAUUUGAAUUAAAGUGAA